rnacentral:rRNA from 1 species
AGCAGUCGCCGCGGUAAUACGGAGGAUCCAAGCGUUAUCCGGAAUCAUUGGGUUUAAAGGGUCCGUAGGCGGUCUUGUAAGUCAGUGGUGAAAGCCCAUCGCUCAACGGUGGAACGGCCAUUGAUACUGCAGGACUUGAAUUAUUGGGAAGUAACUAGAAUAUGUAGUGUAGCGGUGAAAUGCUUAGAGAUUACAUGGAAUACCAAUUGCGAAGGCAGGUUACUACCAAUUGAUUGACGCUGAUGGACGAAAGCGUGGGUAGCGAACAGGAUUAGAUACCCCAGUAGUCCCUGUCUCUUAUAA